UUAUAAGAGACAGCAGCAGCCGCGGGAAUACGGAGGAUCCAAGCGUUAUCCGGAAUCAUUGGGUUUAAAGGGUCCGUAGGCGGUCUUGUAAGUCAGUGGUGAAAGCCCAUCGCUCAACGGUGGAACGGCCAUUGAUACUGCAGGACUUGAAUUAUUGGGAAGUAACUAGAAUAUGUAGUGUAGCGGUGAAAUGCUUAGAGAUUACAUGGAAUACCAAUUGCGAAGGCAGGUUACUACCAAUUGAUUGACGCUGAUGGACGAAAGCGUGGGUAGCGAACAGGAUUAGAUACCCCCGUAGUCCCUGUCUCUUAUAA
rnacentral:rRNA from 1 species